CCCUUAGAUGUUCUGGGCCGCACGCGCGCUACACUGAUGCACUCAACGAGUCUUCACCUUGACCGGAAGGUCCGGGAAACCUUUUGAACUUGCAUCGUGAUGGGGAUAGAUUAUUGCAACUAUUAAUCUUCAACGAGGAAUUCCUAGUAAGCGCAUGUCAUCAGCGUGCGUUGAUUACGUCCCUGCCCUUUGUACACACCGCCCGUCGCUCCUACCGAUUGAAUGAUCCGGUGAGGCCCCCGGACUGUUGCAACGCAGCUGGUUCGCCAGCCGCGAUGCGGCGGGAAGCUGUCCAAACCUUAUCAUUUAGAGGAAGGAGAAGUCGUANCA
rnacentral:rRNA from 1 species